AUUGAACGCUGGCGGCAGGCCUAACACAUGCAAGUCGAGCGGAUGAAGGGAGCUUGCUCCUGGAUUCAGCGGCGGACGGGUGAGUAAUGCCUAGGAAUCUGCCUGGUAGUGGGGGAUAACGUCCGGAAACGGGCGCUAAUACCGCAUACGUCCUGAGGGAGAAAGUGGGGGGUCUUCGGACCUCACGCUAUCAGAUGAGCCUAGGUCGGAUUAGCUAGUUGGUGGGGUAAAGGCCUACCAAGGCGACGAUCCGUAACUGGUCUGAGAGGAUGAUCAGUCACACUGGAACUGAGACACGGUCCAGACUCCUACGGGAGGCAGCAGUGGGGAAUAUUGGACAAUGGGCGAAAGCCUGAUCCAGCCAUGCCGCGUGUGUGAAGAAGGUCUUCGGAUUGUAAAGCACUUUAAGUUGGGAGGAAGGACAGUAAGUUAAUACCUUGCUGUUUUGACGUUACCAACAGAAUAAGCACCGGCUAACUUCGUG
rnacentral:rRNA from 1 species